UUAGAAAGCCCGUUUUUCACUGAAGUGAAGCAGGGUUGAGACUGGUUAGUAUGUGGAUGGGAGACCUUCUUGAGAAAACUAGGUUGCUGUCGGAC
ensembl:rRNA 5S_rRNA 5S ribosomal RNA